GAUGAACGCUGGCGGCGUGCCUAAUACAUGCAAGUCGAGCGAACGGACGAGAAGCUUGCUUCUCUGAUGUUAGCGGCGGACGGGUGAGUAACACGUGGAUAACCUACCUAUAAGACUGGGAUAACUUCGGGAAACCGGAGCUAAUACCGGAUAAUAUUUUGAACCGCAUGGUUCAAAAGUGAAAGACGGUCUUGCUGUCACUUAUAGAUGGAUCCGCGCUGCAUUAGCUAGUUGGUAAGGUAACGGCUUACCAAGGCAACGAUGCAUAGCCGACCUGAGAGGGUGAUCGGCCACACUGGAACUGAGACACGGUCCAGACUCCUACGGGAGGCAGCAGUAGGGAAUCUUCCGCAAAGGGCGAAAGCCUGACGGAUCAACGCCGCGUGAGUGAUGAAGGUCUUCGGAUCGUAAAACUCUGUUAUUAGGGAAGAACAUAUGUGUAAGUAACUGUGCACAUCUUGACGGUACCUAAUCAGAAAGCCACGGCUAACUACGUG
rnacentral:rRNA from 1 species